rnacentral:sRNA from 1 species
UUUUUUAUUCCUUUUGGUUUCAGAUGUGAUCAUUUUACAUGUUAUUCUUUUCUCAUUAAUAAUUACUUUCCUUUUGUUUUCUUAGAAAAUAGCUGAAGACGUUUCCAUGGUAUUCACUCAAAUUUCUGA